rnacentral:rRNA from 1 species
UACGUAGGGGGCAAGCGUUGUUCGGAAUUACUGGGCGUAAAGGGCGCGUAGGCGGCCAGCGCAAGUCAGUUGUGAAAUCUCCGGGCUUAACUCGGAAAGGUCAACUGAUACUGCGCGGCUAGAGUGCAGAAGGGGCAACUGGAAUUCUCGGUGUAGCGGUGAAAUGCGUAGAUAUCGAGAGGAACACCUGCGGCGAAGGCGGGUUGCUGGGCUGACACUGACGCUGAUGCGCGAAAGCCAGGGGAGCGAACGGG